UUUCCGUAGGUGAACCAGCGGAAGGAUCAUUAAUGAAUUCACGGGCGCUCUUUUUAGAGGGCCAACCAUUUUCAUUUCACACUGUGCACACAUAUUUUACAACCUUUUUACUCGUAGAGUCAUAAGAAUGUUAUUAUCUCUUAAUUGAGCAUAAAUUAGUUAAAACUUUCAGCAACGGAUCUCUUGGCUCUC
rnacentral:misc_RNA from 1 species